GCCGAGGAAGGAAGGAAGGAAGGGACAGCUUGUGAUAUGGGUGUAAGGGAAUGCCCAAGGAAGGAAGGGACAGCUUGUGAUAUGGGCGUAAGGGAAUGGCCGAGGAAGGAAGGAAGGAAGGGACAGCUUGUGAUAUGGGCGUAAGGGAAUGGCCGAGGAAGGAAGGAAGGAAGGGACAGCUUGUGAUAUGGGUGUAAGGGAAUGCCCAAGGAAGGAAGGGACAGCUUGUGAUAUGGGCGUAAGGGAAUGGCCGAGGAAGGAAGGAAGGAAGGGACAGCUUGUGAUUUGGGCGUAAGGGAAUGGCCGAGGAAGGAAGGAAGGAAGGAACAGCUUGUAAUAUGGGUGUAAAUCAUCAUUAGGCAGGUUAGCAAGUGAACAUUAUGCAUGAAUGAUAGACAGGAGGGAGGGAGGAAGGGAGAAAGGGAGGGAUUAGCAACAGCAGCAACACCCUCCCUCGGCCACGCCCAGCAGGUCACUGAGGAAAGCUAACCUCGCCAAGCCCUUGAUAUAUGGCCGUGCUAGGCUAGAUUAACGCAUACCAUUGAUUUGUGACCCCGUUGAGAAGCAGUAAUGAUCUUAGCAUUAUACAUGAACCCAACUUGGUGGUGCAGUGGUUACCGUGUCUAGCAACGAAUCUGCGGGCCUAGAUUUGAAUCCCAGCUUAGUUGUAUUUCCCUUUGUGGCUGUGUGGUGACAUACCUGGGGACACCUGGGGAGCCUCACUGUGGUAACCCCUGUGCCCCGUGGUGGUGGGUUUCUGCCCCUACAGGCUCAAAUGGACAAGGAGACAGAGAUGAGCACUGAAGCCACGCGCAGUUAUAGUGUAUACCACAAACUUUACAUACUAACGUCAACAACUAAAUUAACACACUGGUGGCAGAGGUGGGAUACAAACCUGGCUGCCAGACGCAUAACCCAACUCCAUGACACAUUACUGCCAUUACCGCCUUUCCCGAGUCGCCCACAACAACACAAAACACCACUAAGUCUCAAUGCAAACCUUAUCUUAAUCCCACAACGUCAACCACUAAACUAACACACUGGUGACAGCGGUGGGAUUCGAACAUGGCUGCCAGACGCAUAACCCAACUCCAUGACACAUUACUGCUAUUACCGCCUUUCCCGUGUAGCCCAGAACAAGACAAAACACCACUGAGUCUCAAUGCAAACCUUAUCUUAAUCCCACAACGUCAACCACUAAACUAACACACUGGUGACAGCGGUGGGAUUCGAACAUGGCUGCCAGACGCAUAACCCAACUCCAUGACACAUUACUGCUAUUACCCGCGUAGCCCACAACAAAACAAAACACCACUAAGUCUCAAUGCAAACCUCAUCUUAAUCCCGCAUACCCCGGAAGGCGUGGGCAAGGGAUUAGAAGGCGUCCUGUAAAGGUUUAUAUUCUUGACUCCUAAUCCCGUCCUUAGUCGGAUUUACGAGACGUGAGUUCGAAUUCUCAGACGCUUCUGCCACUCGCGUCAACUGUUUCCAAAGGCCAAAAGAGAGAUCAGUCGGGUUCUUGUGAGUGUUUGCUUAGGUUCAUGGUACAGAGGAAGGGUCAGACUACCACCAGGGCCACAAAACUACCCCCGGAAAUGCCUAAAACUCCUACGAAAGCCUUGUCAAAUAUGUGUGCUUCUUAGGUUCAUGAUAAAGACAAAGGGUCAAACUACCACCAGGGUCAUAAAACUACCCAUGAAAAUGUCUAAAACUAAAACGAAAGAAUUGUCAAAUGUGUUUCUUUAGGUUCAUGAUAAAGAGGAAGGGUCAAACUACCACCAGGAUCAUAAAACUACUCCUGGAAAUGCCUAAAACUCCUACGAAAGCCUUGUCAAAUAUGUGUUUCUUCGGUUCAUGAUAGAGAGGAAAGGUCAGACUACCACCAGGGCCACAAAACUACCCCUGGAAAUGCCUAAAACUCCCGCGAAAGCCUUGUCAAAUGUGUGCUUCUUAGAUUCACGGUACAGAGGAAGGGUCACACUACCACCAGGGCCACAAAACUACCCCUGGAAAUGCCUAAAACUCCCGCGAAAGCCUUGUCAAAUGUGUGCUUCUUAGAUUCACGGUACAGAGGAAGGGUCACACUACCACCAGGGCCACAAAACUACCCCUAGAAAUGCCCACAAAACUCCUACGAAAGCCUUGUCAAUGGUACAGAGGAAGGAGUCAAACUACCACCACCAGGGUCACAAAACUACCCCUGAAAAUGCCUUGUCAAAUAUGUGUGCUUGGCCAAGGGAAUAAUUUAAGAAUAUGAAUCCGCUUAGUCUGAAUUUAUGGAUUUAAGUCUGUCUUCAAGGUGGUGUUAGACUCUCCCUGUUGUUGUGUGUGGCAGGAGUUCACGGGGUAUAGAGAUGACUGGGAUUGCGUAGGGGGUUAUGAAGACUUACAGAACCUUGUUGAAUGAAGAUAAUAAUAAUAAUAGUGAUAAUAAUAAUGAUAAUAAGUAGAUGAGAGCUAAGAGAGAGAGAGAGAGAGAGAGAGAGAGAGAGAGAGAGAGAGAGAGAGAGAGAGAGAGAGAGAGACAGACA